UUUUGAACAAGUUUUACUCAUUUGGUUCCACCAUAAAAUCCAACAUUAGGGUUUUACAAGUUUUCAAGAAACAACAGAGAAAACACUAGCGGAAGACUUCGUCGGGGUCGGACGUCCGGGCGAGGCCAGCCAGAACAUCACUGAAUCCUCUCCUCGCCGUCCGAGGAGGGGUCCCACUCGACCGUCCAGCCUGGCGGGAGCUGGGGCGGCCAAGCGCCAACAAGGGAGGGGUCGGGAACUGCAACUUCACCUGAAAAACAUGAGCCACAACAAGGCUGAGCUACUAAGCUCAACAAGACUUAACCGAGGAGGAGCCAACUACUCUUCCAACUAGACAUGCAAGGCUUCUUGGCUGAGGGGUUUGAUUUGCCAAAAGCACUAAGUAACCUAUUUUCAAGUUUUAGCUUCGGUUCUAUAUUUACUUACCAGUCUAGGUUGUGCAACCUAUUCUAAGCAAACAUCGAGCCAAACAGGUGUGUAGGUAAAAACAACAACAUUGCCAUUAUCAGAUUCCUCAUUUACUCAGGGUGACAUAGCGAUCAAGAAAUCUCAAACUGUGAGAGGCAGACGAAUCGAUUCGAGUUCUUUAACCAUGCAUGGUGAACCUAGCCCCACGACAUCCGCGCACCCGGAGGUCGCUUCCUGUGUCGGCCUUCCCCAUCAAUCCCCUAACCCGUGUCGGGCCCAUUUCCUUUGGUGCAAGGUUCCACAGACCCGGCCUCUGCCGUUCUGUGACCACGCUUUGCCAUCACGUGCGACAACCAGCAGGGGAAACUCCGUUCCAAGAACAAUGGGGCGACCGCUCACGUCUAGGUUCAAUCAGGUACUAGGUUUCCUCAUCCCAUACUAAGUAUGAGGCUAGUACUUUCAAACACUUGAUCACGAACACCACCACUGUCGGGCCUUAGCAAGUUUUCAUAGAUAGACGGGGCAACCAUCCGACCACCAAAGUGUUACCCAACCCUGCCCCGUCCACCGUCCUUAUAGUUGUAGCAGAUAGUAAACAUGCAACUCCUACAACUCGCGAGUGACGGGAGAUCACUCGGCUUUUACCGUCUCCUAUUUAAGCAAUGCAGUUACUCGGUCCAACAGCUAGUGCUCAUAUCAAGGGUUACUAAGUCAUGUAUCUAGGGUUUCACACAACUCCUAAACGUAAAUGCACAAUCAUGCUAUUCGGAAGGCAUGUGCAAGUUUGGCAAAAACACGUAGGAUUUUCAUGCAACCGGGGCUUGCCUGCAAACAAGGAAGGCUGGAACUGCUCGACUUCAGGGGCGGCUUCGACUUCCGCGGGCAGGAUCUCGGCUACAGCUUCUUCUUCGGGCAUCGGGUGCAGCUCGUAGAAGCCGUCAGCAAGAUGCAGCUCUACACGAAUGCAAUGCAAGGGUUAGUUUAAACGUUUUGAUUUGACAGCAACACUGGCUCUCCUGAGUCCAGAAACUUGCGACAAAGAGCAGGAGGUGGAGGCUGUUUGAGAGAGGUGAUGAUGAUCAACAGGUAAGGGUAGGAAGAGAACUAGUGGUCUGAUCCUUGAACUAGAGGAUGUGAUAACUGGGAUCCUCAGUCGUAGGCGCUGAAGGGUUCCCACGUUUUACACAUACACCCUCGAGUUAAAGAAAAAGAUCACAGCCAAACCCUCGGGCGAGGCGGACAAGGGUCGGCGAACAGACAGGGUCGGACGAGACGGAACUGGGGUCGGGCGGAUAGGAGGGGUCGGGCGAGGCGGACUUAGGGUCGGCACUCACCUUCUUCCUGGAAGGAAAGGUUGGGGUCGGGAAGAGGCAGACUUGGGCGCGGAACUAAAGCUUUGAGCAGGGACUAAGACCUGCGAUGCUCCGGCGGCGGUGCUUCUUGCGGAUCACAAGAGAGCUCUACGCACCACAGGGGAGCAAGCUGCGGGGUGACUUGGAGGAACUGAGAAGGAACUGGGAGAAGAACUUUUCAAGAACUGGGUGGGUGGCGCUAGGAGCUUGAGCAGGGACCUAGAGGAAACUAAGGGUAACAAAGGCGGAGAGAACUCCGGCGACGGGGGCAUUCCUUUUAUAGCUGCUGGAGCAGAGGAACGGAAACGUCGCGAAGAGAGAGGAGGGGGUGGCGUGAAGGCCGGGGAGAAGCAAUGGAGUGCUCUGCCGUGGCGGCGAUUGAGCAAACCGGGCGAUGCUGCAGAACUCCGGGGGUGACGCCAGCGAUCAUUGCGCUACUCCGUCAGGGCGGCGUAGGCGCGGGUAGACCGGUGGUUGGGAUUUGGCGGAGAGCGGGCGUCGUCGUGCGGGAGAGGUGAUAGAAGCGACCGGUUAAACGGCGCUAGGAUCGAGGGCGCACAGGUGAGAGAACAAGCGGACGCAGCGCAGGGGAGAGCGCGGAACAACAGAUUGUCGGGCGGCUUCUGACAGAGCGGGGAAAAGGAACUGUCGCGGCCGCGGUCGGGGUUGGCGGUGGGGGAAUCGUCGUAUAGCGACGACCGGGCGGCGCAACUGUUGCUGGAAAGGACGGAAAAGACGGGCGACAUCGGUCUCCGGGGCCGGGAUCUGGUAUCGUGAUGAUGGGCGCGGGGAACGAGGGUCUGCAGAAAGGGGUGCAGAGGGCUUCCGCUGCCAUUGGGGAAAAGGGCGCGGGAACCCACUUGGUCGCUUGCCAGAGACAAAACUGAGCGGUGGCGUCGGAGAAGACGAGCCACGCGGCAGGAAGGCUCUGAGGCGGCCAUGCAACUCGAGUGCGGCUGACGCGGGGGAUCUGGAAAAAGAUCUCACGGGUCCACCGGGGGAAAGAUCGGACGGGUGAGGAAGAUCAGCAGGAUCCGACGGAGGGUUGAACUCGCCAGGGUCGGGAAGGAACGAAGAGAUAGGGGUCGGAUCUCAGGGGUUGGGACUGGCGGAAGACUGAGCACCUAGGUGCGGUCAACAGAACAACCAACUGAGGUUAAGGGCUGAGAUCAAACCUAACCGGGAAAAGUUAGGGGUCGGUUGUUACAGCCUACCCCUCUUAAAAAGAAUCUCGUCCCGAGAUUCAAGAUCAAGGGUGUGUUGUUCUUACCUCCUUGAUGGGAUAGAAAACCUGGAAAACGCUUGUUCAGAUAUUCUUCCGUCUCCCAUGUUGCGUCAUAUUCGGUGUGGUUUCUCCAGAGGAUCUUGUACAUCUUUACCAUUUGGCGUCGGGUGUGCCUUUCCUUCUGGUCAAGAACUCGAUCUGGGUACUCGGUGUAGGUCAGGUCGGGUUCUACUUGAAGCUGUUCUUGUUCUAGGAUCUCUGCUGGAACUCGGACACAUUUCUUCAGCUGAGACACAUGGAAAACGUCAUGUAUGGCUGAUAGCUGUUCUGGGAGUUGGAUCCGGUAAGCAACAGGCCCACAUUUCUCCACAAUCUCGUAAGGGCCAACAUAGCGGGGAGCUAACUUGCCCUUUAUUCCAAACCGUUGCACUCCUUUGGUUGGGGAGACUCGAAGGUACACAUGAUCACCAAGUUUGAACUGCAGGGGUCUCCUCCGCUGGUCAGAGUAACUCUUCUGUCGAGAUUGGGCAGCCUUGAGAUUAGCUUGAAUUACCUUUACUUGCUCUUCGGCUUCUGCCACUAAGUCAGGGCCAUACACCUGUCUUUCUCCUGGUUGGGACCAGUUCAAGGGUGUUCGGCAUCUUCGGCCGUACAGGGCUUCAAACGGUGCCAUCUUCAAACUGGCCUGGUAGCUAUUAUUGUAGGAGAACUCUGCUAAGGGCAGGCACUUGUCCCAGUUUUUGUCAUAGUGAAUAACACAGGCUCUUAACAUGUCUUCAAGGAUCUGGUUGACUCUCUCGGUUUGGCCAUCGGUUUGGGGAUGAUAUGUUGAGCUUCGGAUGAGCCGGGUGCCCAUGGAUGUUUGUAAUUGCUCCCAAAAACGUGCCACAAACUGAACUCCUCUGUCUAAGACUAUAGUCUUGGGGACGCCAUGUAGGGAAACGAUACGGUCGAGGUACAACUCUGCAUAUUGCUUGACCGUGUAGGUGGUACGAACAGGAAAGAAAUGUGCUGUCUUGGUCAGACGGUCCACUAUAACCCAGAUAGAAUCAUACCGUUGAGUUGUAAGGGGUAACCCAACUAUGAAGUCCAUGCUGAUGUCUUCCCAUUUCCAAGAGGGAAUAGGUAGCGGCUGCAAGGUCCCUGCUACCUUCAAGUGACUAGCCUUGACACGUUGACAAGUGUCGCAUUCUGAAACAUAACGAGCUAUCUCCGGUUUCAUCCCACUCCACCAAAAGGUCUGACGGAGAUCGUGGUACAUCUUGUUACUGCCAGGGUGGAUUGAGAACUUGGAAAGAUGAGCUUCAUCUAGGAUCUGCCUCCUCAGCUCAGGGUCGGCGGGCACUACUAGUCGGUUUCCAUAGUACACACCUCCCUUUUGGUCCUGCCGGAAAAGUUUAUAUCCUUCGUCCUUUACCGAGACCUUACUGAUGAUCCGUUUCACUUCUUCAUCCUUAGCUUGUGCUGACCGAAUCCGGUCCUCCAAAACUGAGUCAAGGAUGAUGUGACCAAGGGUUCCAUGAGGAACAAUCUCCAGACUUAGUUUUCCCAUCUCGUGACACAGAGUGUUGGUGAAGGUGGUUGACAACAAGCAAUUGCAACGGGGUUUGCGACUGAGGGCAUCGGCCACCACAUUGGCCUUGCCAGGAUGAUAGUGCACUUCCAAGUCAUAAUCCUUUAUCAACUCCAGCCAUCUUCUCUGACGCAUGUUGAGAUCGGCUUGCGUGAAGAUGUACUUGAGGCUCUUGUGGUCGGUAUAGAUGUUGCAGUGAGCUCCCAUUAAGUAGUGCCUCCAUAUCUUCAAGGCAUGUAUCACUGCUGCCAACUCAAGGUCAUGGGUCGGGUAGUUCAGCUCAUGAGGUCGCAACGCACGUGAGGCAUAGGCAAUGACUCGGCUGUCUUGCAUAAGAACACAUCCGAGCCCAGUGCCAGAGGCGUCACAGUAUACGUCAUACGGCCUAGAGGGGUCGGGUUGGGCCAAAACUGGGGCGGUGGUUAACAAGUGCUUCAGGGUUUUGAAAGCUUCUUCGCACUUGGUGUCCCACACAAACUUGAACUCUUUCUUUAACAACUCGGUCAUCGGCUUAGCUAUCUUGGAGAAAUCCGGUAUAAAACACCGAUAGUAACCUGCCAGUCCGAGGAAACUCCGGAUCUGGUGUACCGAGACAGGAGACUUCCAUUUCAUGACCUCUUGCACCUUACUGGGAUCCACGGCAAUACCGUCCUUGGAGAUAGUGUGUCCCAAAAACAUGACACUAUCCAACCAAAACUCACACUUGGAGAACUUUGCAUAAAGCUGGUGAUCUCUCAGUCGCUGGAGAACUAUAUGAAGAUGGUUGGCAUGCUCUUCCUUGUCCUUUGAGUACACUAGGAUAUCAUCAAUGAACACCACUACAAACUUGUUCAGCUCAGGCAUAAACACCGAGUUCAUGAGGUACAUGAAGUAAGCGGGUGCAUUGGUGAGUCCAAAGGACAUGACUAGGUACUCAUACAGUCCAUAUCUGGUAGAGAAAGCUGUCUUGGGUACGUCGCAAGGUCGAAUCUUGAUUUGGUGAUAACCAGAACGAAGAUCGAUCUUGGAGAACACUUUUGCUCCGGCUAACUGGUCGAACAAGACAUCAAUGCGGGGCAGUGGGUACUUAUUCUUGACUGUUACCGCAUUGAGGGAUCGGUAAUCCACACACAUCCGUAAACUGCCGUCUUUCUUCUUCACAAACAGGGUGGGGCAACCCCAAGAUGACGUACUGGGUCGAAUGAAGCCCUUUUCCAACAGAUCAUGCAACUGGGUCUUCAACACUGCUAACUCAGCGGGUGGCAUCCGAUAGGGUCUCUUAGAUAUCGGGGCUGUGCCAGGAACCAACUCUAUAGAAAACUCCACCUCUCUGUCAGGUGGCAUGCCUGGCAAGUCUUCUGGAAACACAUCUGGAUACUCACAGAUGACAGGGAGGUCUUCUAAACGGGUUCCCGAGAGAGAAAAGGCACAAGGAGUCAAAGACUCAGGAUGGGUCAAGGAUAGGGUAGCACUGCCAUGAGAGGGCGAGCGGAGGAAAAGAGAUCGGGCCGAGGUAUCUAAAACAACACGAUGUCGGGCCAUCCAAUCCAUGCCAAGGAUGACGUCUAGGCCUUCAAGGUCAAGGAUGAUAAGGUUUUCCUUGAAGAGGGUGGGGCCUAGCUGGAGAGGUACAAGAAUAACGACCUGAUCCGACGUUAUCCUUCCUCCAGGAGUGGCGAUCACAUAGGGUUCCUUAGUGUGACCCACACUUAGCCCACACCUUUCCCUUGCCUUACUCCCGAUAAAGCUAUGAGAGGCUCCCGAAUCAAACAACACCACAACAGCUUGAUUUAAAACAAGAAAAGUACCCGUCAUCACUGACGCACCUUCGGGAAGUUCGGUCAAGCUGGUGUAGUUGAGUCGGCCUUGUCGGACUUGCACCUUGGGCCUUCUUCCUCUGGCUGCCAUGGGGUUCUGGCCUUGUUGCUGAGUCUUGCUCCUGGGGCAGUCCCUUGCAAAAUGUCCCUCAUUGCCGCAGGUAAAACAUCUGUUACUGGUUGCCGGACGAGGUGGCGUUGGCAAGGUCGGUCGGGGUACUUGCGGUUGGGGACCUGGGAAACUGGGCAUUGUUGCCGGCGGGGGUCGGGCGAUCCAUUUCCCUGACUGUUGGGGUCGGCCAGGGGCUUGUGGAGGGAUCAUCCGAAACCUUCGGGCUGGCGGGCUCGGAAGAGCCACAGAGGCUUUCCUCUUCUGGUCGGCCUUGAGAGCUUGCAUGCAAUCCUCCUGGGAGAUGGCCAGAUUGACCAACUCGUUAUAGGUGUCCACCCGGAUGGGGUUCAGCCUUUCCCUGAGCUCCAAGCUCAGUCCUCGGCGGAAUCAGUCCCGCUUCUUCUCAUCGGUGUCCGCGUGAUAUCCCGCAUAACGGCAUAGGUCAUUGAACGCCUGGGCGUAGUGCAGCACAUCCCGAGUUCCCUGGGUGAGGGCCAGAAACUCGUUGAGCUUCCGCUCCAGGAGACCUUCAGGAAUGUGAUGCGCCUUGAACGCCGUCUUAAACUCGUUCCAACUGACCACGUGGCCAGCAGGUAGCAUGGCAUGGUAGUGGUCCCACCAAAGCCGUGCGGAACCACGCAGCUGCUGAGCUGCGAACCGCGCCUUGUUGUUGUCAGGGCAUGGAGCGGUAAGGAGCUCGAACUUGGAUUCGAUCGUACGAACCCAUGCAUCAGCGUCGAGCGGUUCUUGGGUCUUUUGGAACAGCGGGGGCUGCGUCCCCCGAAAGUCCUCAUAUCUUGCGAUAUGCUGCUGCGGCUGUGCUCUACCACCAUGUGGCUGCUGUUGUCCUUGCACCAGAUGCCUGAGCAGCUCGGUUUGAGUUGCUAGGAUUGCCUCCAAUGGCGAUGGUGGCGGGGGCGGGGGAAGAUCCUGGCGCUGGUCACUGCCGCUGGGCAUAGUUCCAGACCUCGUGCGGUGCGCCAUCUGCAAGAGUUAACGCCCCAUCAAUCUCAUAACCUUAGGUGUACUCCAACGAAUGGGAACGUAUGAAUUAAGUCCUUUAAUGCGACUCUUGCCAAAGGUGCAUCACACGUCCUCAUAGAGGAAGCGCAUUCCUCCCUUUUUCAUCAUAGAUAGCCCUUACUUGCCCUCGUACUCCACCUUAGGCACUCACACCACAUACAGACUCCUAGGGUCUCAUCCACUCGAACCAAGGGGUCGGAUACGGUCCGUACUCAAAGAGGGUCGGACAAGGCGGUAACUGCCUUAAGGGUCGACGCACUCUAGCUCGCAAACUAGGGUCGGCCAACUGAACAGGCUCCCCAAAAACAACACAGGUUCCGGCACUACUCACUCAACCUUAGCAUCCACACCAUACGAAAAGGAUAAAACUAUGCACUGGGUUGACUUUAUACACAGCGACGUUUCAACACAGGGAGUACUCAACUCAAGGCUAACCUAUUACAACUUUCCAAAACUAGGCUGCCGAGGAGUACAACAAAAGAAAGAAGGUUCCCUGAGAACCCUUAAGCUACCACUGGACACUAUGAGUCGGAGAAGGGGCGCCAUCUUCUUCUAUGUCCAUGUUGGACGCUCCCUCGUCUUCCUCAGGGUCCUCCUGAGCUUCAAGCUGCAUGUUGAGGGCAUGCAUAUCUUCAAGCUCAGCUUGGUGCUCCUCUAGGUGGGCAUUAGCAACGGCCAACUCCAUUUCCACCUCCAUUUUCUCCUCCGAGAGCUCGAUCAUGCCGUCCACGAGGUCGGCAACUUCUCCUUCCAGCUCGGAGAUCCGGUCUUGCAUGUCGUGGAUCUGGAUUCCACGUUGGAUCAGCUGGUAGGUUUGGCCUACCAGGUCUCUUCUAGCUGCCUGGAGGUACCCGUGGGUGUCUGCAGCCGUCCGGGCAAAGAGAGUCAUGGCUCUUCCUUGGAGCUCUAUCAGCCGGUAGAAGGCAGCCAUGCAACGGACGUUGGUGGAGAUGGUGAUCGUAGCACAGGUAGCGGCCAACACCUCGAGGUUUCCGAUGCGGUCCAGCCAGGCCGGGUCCAACCGACUCCUGACGGGAAAAAGACCGAUCGGGUCCAGGGUGAUCUCCACAGGGUGGAACUGACAGAACUGCGUGAGCAACUGGAGAGCGGCGGAUUCCCACGUAUCUUCCGGAGAAAGACCGUAGGCUAUGAUGCCCAGAGAGGGCCAGUCGGGCCGCGAGAAAGGGCGUGGCACCAGUGCUUGCACCUGGCACGUCUGGAUGCCCUGCUCCACAUACAGCCGCCCCGAAUACAGGGGUGGGGACUGAUACCCAAACCAUCUCAACGUAUCCCACAAGAUCGCGGGAAACCCCUCGAAAUGUAGGCAUGUUGAUUGGAAGGUACCGUCCGCUCCAAACACCACAUGCCCGGGAGCAGCCAUCUGGAACCAAGAAAACCGAAGCCACGUGAGAUAACUCCGAGGAUCAGGGAUCGGAUAGAGAAGCAGAAGGGCUUAACCGAGAGCAACUAAGAGGAGCUAGAAAUCCCUAGAUCCAAAAGAACUCUGUCGGACAGGGUUGCUGUUGAGAAGAGAACAUUACAGAUUUUUGUAUGACGCAUGCACGGCCUACCGUACUCUUAACCAAAAACAACUGCCCGAACCUUGGGUCUUACGCGGUCAGCGCCGGUGACGAGGCAACAAUACGUCUCUCCCUAUAUUAACUAGUCGGUUCUAGCAACGUCUUAACGAACGCGGUUAGCAACCUGCAGAAAACACACACACGAACCUUUCGUGCCAGCACCCACGAAAGCGCUCCCAAACAUUACCGUUCACUAUAGGAACGGCACCCAUGCGUUUAAGGCUGCAUGGACAGCACUCAACCGUGGAAAUAGGUUCCUUCCGAAUAGAACCACAUAACCCUUCGCAUACUCGUGAUGCGGCAUCGGCACACGUAUGAUAGACGUGGCGAAACAACCGUGCCAAUAGGUUCGUUGGAAUCGAACCAUAUCAACCUUCGUAUGGAUCACAUACGGAACCUGCGCACGUAUAAUAGAUGUGGACGAAAACAACCGCGAAGAUAGGGUCCCUUGAAUGGAACUCCCUAUCAACCCUCGCAUGCUCGUGAUGCGGAACUCGGCACACGUAUGACAGACGUGGCGAAGUGCUGGAGGAGUUAGCAACAUAACCAGAUACUUAUUUAGUCACCUAAAACAACCCCAAAAUCCCCUAGGGCCUCUCGCACUAAAUCAUCCUUAACGUUUGUACGAGAUUUUCGAAAGGUUCUUGCAACUUUUAUAUUUUCAAAGAAGUGUUUAGGGCUCAUUGGGUUCUCUGAUAUGCUGAACUCGGCUCUGAUACCAGCUGUGGCGGAACCACCUCGGAUUAGCUUGAUUAAGCAGGGUUAAGCCGCCUAACAUGCGACACCACUGCCUAAACCGAGUUAAUACGAAGUGCCGUCAAAUUUUGCCCGAUUUAACCACUUAAAUAGGAUCGAGUUCAGCAACCCACAUGAAGGUGAGCGGUUACAGAGAAUACAACGAGUCCACGGAUUUUUGAACAAGUUUUACUCAUUUGGUUCCACCAUAAAAUCCAACAUUAGGGUUUUACAAGUUUUCAAGAAACAAUAGAGAAAACACUAGCGGAAGACUUCGUCGGGGUCGGACGUCCGGGCGAGGCCAGCUAGAACAUCACUGAAUCCUCUCCUCGCCGUCCGAGGAGGGGUCCCACUCGACCGUCCAGCCUGGCGGGAGCUGGGGCGGCCAAGCGCCAACAAGGGAGGGGUCGGGAACUGCAACUUCACCUGAAAAACAGGAGCCACAACAAGGCUGAGCUACUAAGCUCAACAAGACUUAACCGAGGAGGAGCCAACUACUCUUCCAACUAGACAUGCAAGGCUUCUUGGCUGAGGGGUUUGAUUUGCCAAAAGCACUAAGUAACCUGUUUUCAAGUUUUAGCUCCGGUUCUAUAUUUACUUACCAGUCUAGGUUGUGCAACCUAUUCUAAGCAAACAUCGAGCCAAACAGGUGUGUAGGUAAAAACAACAACAUUGCCAUUAUCAGAUUCCUCAUUUACUCAGGGUGACAUAGCGAUCAAGAAAUCUCAAACUGUGAGAGGCAGACGAAUCGAUUCGAGUUCUUUAACCAUGCAUGGUGAACCUAGCCCCACGACAUCCGCGCACCCGGAGGUCGCUUCCUGUGUCGGCCUUCCCCAUCAAUCCCCUAACCCGUGUCGGGCCCAUUUCCUUUGGUGCAAGGUUCCACAGACCCGGCCUCUGCCGUUCUGUGACCACGCUUUGCCACCACGUGCGACAACCAGCAGGAGAAACUCCGUUCCAAGAACAAUGGGGCGACCGCUCACGUCUAGGUUCAAUCAGGUACUAGGCUUCCUCAUCCCAUACUAAGUAUGAGGCUAGUACUUUCAAACACUUGAUCACGAACACCACCACUGUCGGGCCUUAGCAAGUUUUCAUAGACAGACGGGGCAACCAUCCGACCACCAAAGUGUUACCCAACCCUGCCCCGUCCACCGUCCUUAUAGUUGUAGCAGAUAGUAAACAUGCAACUCCUACAACUCGCGAGUGACGGGAGAUCACUCGGCUUUU
rnacentral:lncRNA from 1 species